GGCUGGUCCGAAGGGAGUAAGUUAUCUCAGCCAAUUGUUCGCAGGCAGUUACAGAUCCAACUCCUUAUUCUACUCUUUCCCCUUUCUCACUACUGCACUUGACUAGUCUAAA
ensembl:misc_RNA Y_RNA Y RNA